rnacentral:rRNA from 1 species
UUCCGGUUGAUCCUGCCGGAGGCCACUGCUAUUGGGAUCCGACUAAGCCAUGCGAGUCGAGAGGGUUCGGCCCUCGGCAGACUGCUCAGUAACACGUGGAUAAUCUACCCUUAGGUGGAGGAUACUCUCGGGAAACUGAGAAUAAUACUCCAUAGAUCCAGGAUGCUGGAAUGCACCUAGAUUGAAAGUUCCGGCGCCUAAGGAUGAGUCUGCGGACUAUCAGGUAGUAGUCAGGGUAAAGACCUGACUAGCCUACGACGGAUACGGGUUGUGAGAGCAAUAGCCCGGAGACGAUAUCUGAGACACGAUAUCGGGCCCUACGGGGCGCAGCAGGCGCGAAAUCUUCACAAUGUGCGAAAGCACGAUGAGGGGAUCCCAAGUGUUGGUUCGUAAGAAUCAUCUGUUUCUUUGUCUAAAAAACAGAGAGAGUAAGAGCUGGGUAAGACGGGUGCCAGCCGCCGCGGUAAUACCUGCAGCUCAAGUGGUGGCCACUAUUAUUGGGCCUAAAACGUCCGUAGCCGGUUUAGUAAAUGCUUGGGUAAAUUGUGUAGCUUAACUAUACGAAUACCGAGUAGACUGCUGAACUUGAGACCGGGAGAGGCUAGAGGUACUCCUAGGGUAGAGGUGAAAUUCUGUAAUCCUAGGGGGACCACCAGUGGCGAAGGCGUCUAGCUAGAACGGGUCUGACGGUGAGGGACGAAGCCCUGGGGCGCAAACCGGAUUAGAUACCCGGGUAGUCCAGGGUGUAAACGCUGCUCGCUUGAUGUUAGUUGGGCUCCGAGUCCAACUAGUGUCGGAGAGAAGUUGUUAAGCGAGCUGCCUGGGAAGUACGGUCGCAGGCUGAAACUUAAAGGAAUUGGCGGGGAGCACAGCACGGGUGGAGCGUGCGGUUAUGAUCACGCGA